UGGGGAAUAUUGCACAAUGGGCGCAAGCCUGAUGCAGCCAUGCCGCGUGUAUGAAGAAGGCCUUCGGGUUGUAAAGUACUUUCAGUCGGGAGGAAGGUGGUAAGGUUAAUAACCUUGGCAAUUGACGUUACCGACAGAAGAAGCACCGGCUAACUCCGUGCCAGCGGCCGCGGUAAUACGGAGGGUGCAAGCGUUAAUCGGAAUUACUGGGCGUAAAGCGCACGCAGGCGGUUGAUUGAGUCAGAUGUGAAAUCCCCGGGCUUAACCCGGGAAUUGCAUCUGAUACUGGUCAGCUAGAGUCUUGUAGAGGGGGGUAGAAUUCCAUGUGUAGCGGUGAAAUGCGUAGAGAUGUGGAGGAAUACCGGUGGCGAAGGCGGCCCCCUGGACAAAGACUGACGCUCAGGUGCGAAAGCGUGGGGAGCAAACAGG
rnacentral:rRNA from 1 species